rnacentral:rRNA from 1 species
UACGGAGGGUGCAAACGUUGCUCGGAAUCACUGGGCGUAAAGCGCACGUAGGCGGCUUUCUAAGUCAGGGGUGAAAUCCUGGAGCUCAACUCCAGAACUGCCUUUGAUACUGGAGAGCUCGAGUCCGGAAGAGGUGAGUGGAACUCCGAGUGUAGAGGUGAAAUUCGUAGAUAUUCGGAAGAACACCAGUGGCGAAGGCGGCUCACUGGUCCGGUACUGACGCUGAUGUGCGAAAGCGUGGGGAGCAAACAGG